AUGCGUUCCAUUAGAUAGUAGGCGGGGUAACGGCCCACCUAGUCAACGAUGGAUAGGGGUUCUGAGAGGAAGGUCCCCCACAUUGGAACUGAGACACGGUCCAAACUCCUACGGGAGGCAGCAGUGAGGAAUAUUGGUCAAUGGGCGAUGGCCUGAACCAGCCAAGUAGCGUGAAGGAUGACUGCCCUAUGGGUUGUAAACUUCUUUUAUAAAGGAAUAAAGUCGGGUAUGCAUACCCGUUUGCAUGUACUUUAUGAAUAAGGAUCGGCUAACUCCGUGCCAGCAGCCGCGGUAAUACGGAGGAUCCGAGCGUUAUCCGGAUUUAUUGGGUUUAAAGGGAGCGUAGAUGGAUGUUUAAGUCAGUUGUGAAAGUUUGCGGCUCAACCGUAAAAUUGCAGUUGAUACUGGAUGUCUUGAGUGCAGUUGAGGCAGGCGGAAUUCGUGGUGUAGCGGUGAAAUGCUUAGAUAUCACGAAG
rnacentral:rRNA from 1 species